rnacentral:rRNA from 1 species
GUGACUGAGUGGCGGACGGGUGAGUAACGCGUGGGUGACCUGCCCCAUACCGGGGGAUAACAGCUGGAAACGGCUGCUAAUACCGCAUAAGCGCACAGAGCUGCAUGGCUCGGUGUGAAAAACUCCGGUGGUAUGGGAUGGGCCCGCGUCUGAUUAGGCAGUUGGCGAGGUAACGGCCCACCAAGGCGACGAUCCAUAGCCGACCUGAGAGGGUGACCGGCCACAUUGGGACUGAGACACGGCCCAAACUCCUACGGGGGGCAGCAGUGGGGAAUAUUGCACAAUGGGCGAAAGCCUGAUGCAGCGACGCCGCGUGAGCGAAGAAGUAUUUCGGUAUGUAAAGCUCUAUCAGCAGGGAAGAUAAUGACGGUACCUGACUAAGAAGCACCGGCUAAAUACGUGCCAGCAGCCGCGGUAAUACGUAUGGUGCAAGCGUUAUCCGGAUUUACUGGGUGUAAAGGGAGCGCAGGCGGUGCGGCAAGUCUGAUGUGAAAGCCCGGGGCUCAACCCCGGUACUGCAUUGGAAACUGUCGUACUAGAGUGUCGGAGGGGUAAGCGGAAUUCCUAGUGUAGCGGUGAAAUGCGUAGAUAUUAGGAGGAACACCAGU